CCUACGGGAGGCAGCAGUCGAGAAUCAUUCACAAUGGGGGAAACCCUGAUGGUGCGACGCCGCGUGGGGGAAUGAAGGUCUUCGGAUUGUAAACCCCUGUCAUGUGGGAGCAAAUUAAAAAGAUAGUACCACAAGAGGAAGAGACGGCUAACUCUGUGCCAGCAGCCGCGGUAAUACAGAGGUCUCAAGCGUUGUUCGGAAUCACUGGGCGUAAGGCGUGCGUAGGCUGUUUCGUAAGUCGUGUGUGAAAGGCGCGGGCUCAACCCGCGGACGGCACAUGAUACUGCGAGACUAGAGUAAUGGAGGGGGAAGCGGAAUUCUUGGUGUAGCAGUGAAAUGCGUAGAUAUCGGGAGGAACACUCGUGGCGAAGGCGGGUUCCUGGACAUUAACUGACGCUGAGGCACGAAGGCCAGGGGAGCGAAAGGGAUUAGAUACCCCUGUAGUC
rnacentral:rRNA from 1 species